AGGAAACUGAGGCAUGGAGAGGCUUCACAACUUACCAAGAUCAUAUGUCCAGUAUGUGAAAUAUUUGAAUCCUGGCUCCAGUGUAAACCACAAGAGGCUUUUGGAAACCACACAGCAGAGAAUUCCUUCAUUUAUCAAGUUUCACUGAGUAUUUAUUCUGGAACAAACUCUGAUAAGCCUUGAGAAUUCCAGUACCUCCCUCAGAGACAAAGAGAAAGUUCUUCCAGGGUCAAACGAGCCCUGACAAGAUCUGCUCUCCCUGUUCUCAUCCCAUGGACCUCCUCAUCAACACUCUCCUACUUGCUCUGCUCCAGCAACCCUGCUCACCUUUUUGUUUCCAGAAGGCCAGAGAGCUGAGAGUGCAAGUCCUAGUUGAGGUACUACCUGAGAGCCAAUGUCUUCAUUCUUCUUGCUAACAGAAGCACAAUGUUGUCCAGGAACCGGAGUCCAGGUUCAUCAUGGGCACUUCUACAUACCGCGGAGUACAGAGUUGAUAGGUCCUACUCAGUGACUAACAAGAUGUAAGAAAUAACCUCCUGGGAGAGACUUUUACUCCUGAUAAAAAAAAGUCAUGCCAGAAGAAGUUACUGUUCUGGUCUGGGUUGUGUUUGUGCAAGGAUCUGGAGACUGAGGCUACAGCAGCCCCCAGCAGGGUACAGCAUGGGAUGCGAGUCAGACCUUUGCAGCAUAAAGCACAAAAGAGAAAGCCACCGGACUCUUGAUCACACGGGUAAGCCACUGAACUGACCAUCCCUACCACUGCUCAUCUCUGGACUUUGAUGUUGUCCGUUAAAAACUCACCAGUAUUUAAAUCACUUUCAUUUGGGUAUGGAGAAUACCCAAACUUAUCUUCUCACAUAUUAAGCCCAUUGUCUUAAUUGUCUUAAAUGAUUGUCUUUCUUGCCUCACUGCUGAACCCCACUGUUAGGACUUUGGCUUGGGUCCUCAUCUCCUCACUGGCCUCCCAGCCUCCAAACUCACCCUCACAUCCACCUUCCAGGCUCGCAUCGAGGAGAUCCUCACAUGCAGAUCUGUCUCUCUUAUGCCCUUCAGUCUUCCCUCGCCAGGUUUCCCAUCACGCACUAGUUCAAAGUCCUUGGCACAGUGCAUAAGCCUUCUGUGAUCUUUGUCCCCUCUCGUUUCAUCAUGUUGUCCCCUCACAAUAGCACAUUAUGCCUGAAACACACAGAACUAUGUGUCCUAACAUGCAAGGUCGUUUUCCACCCACGAACAUUUGCAUGGCUCUUUCUCUUGCCCGAAAUACUGUUUCUUUGACCACUGCUGGGUAUUUAAGUUUCAUUCAAGUUCUACUUCCAUUGUGCUUCCUGUGCCCUUCGCUGCUGCUGUCCUCACACCUGCCUCAUCACAGCCAACAGGCCGCUGUCCGUAUUUUCCCCACUCGAGUGGAUGUUACUGGAAGACGUGAUAUUUAACCUUUGUUUCCAUACUGACUUGUGGUUGGUCUACAGAAUAGUCAUGAAUGCUUAUUUAUGUAUGAAUGAAUGAAAGAGGGAAUGAUUACAUAGGUUUUGGCUACACUGG